AUCUUUCUAGUACAAUACUAGUAUCAGUGACUUCCAAUCACCCGGUCUUGGUGAGAAUCCAAGGAAAGAUA
rnacentral:tRNA from 1 species